GCGUCGUAGUCUCCUGCAGCGUCUGUGGUUUCCGUCGCAGUCCUCGGAACCAGGACCUCGGCGUGGCGUAGCGAGUUAUGGCGACGAAGGCCGUGUGCGUGCUGAAGGGCGAUGGCCCAGUGCAGGGCAUCAUCAAUUUCGAGCAGAAGAGACGGCGUUUCACCAUGUUGGCCAGGAUGGUCUCGAUCUGUUCACGUCGUGAUCUACCCGCCUCGGCCUCCCAAAGUGCUGGGAUUACAGGCGUGAGCCACCCCGCCCGGCCACCAGUGUUAGUCUUAAGACGCCUCUGAGGAAUCCCUUCUCCCUGGCCGUUGAGAAUCCAUGCAUGAACCCAGGAAAGUAAUGGACCAGUGAAGGUGUGGGGAAGCAUUAAAGGACUGACUGAAGGCCUGCAUGGAUUCCAUGUUCAUGAGUUUGGAGAUAAUACAGCAGGCUGUACCAGUGCAGGUCCUCACUUUAAUCCUCUAUCCAGAAAACACGGUGGGCCAAAGGAUGAAGAGAGGCAUGUUGGAGACUUGGGCAAUGUGACUGCUGACAAAGAUGGUGUGGCCGAUGUGUCUAUUGAAGAUUCUGUGAUCUCACUCUC
rnacentral:sRNA from 1 species